rnacentral:rRNA from 1 species
CCCUUAGACGUUCUGGGCCGCACGCGCGCUACACUGACGAAGGCAACGAGCUUUCCUUUACCGAAAGGUACGGGUAAUCUUUUGAAACUUCGUCGUGCUGGGGAUAGAUCCUUGCAAUUAUUGAUCUUAAACGAGGAAUUCCUAGUAAGCGCAAGUCAUCAACUUGCGUUGAUUACGUCCCUGCCCUUUGUACACACCGCCCGGCGCUACUACCGAUUGAAUGGUUUAGUGAGGCCUUCGGAUCCGCGACUCGUUUUGUGGAGAAGUUGGACAAACUCAGUCAUUUAGAGGAAGUAAAAGUCGUAACA